AGGACGAACGCUGGCGGCGUGCUUAACACAUGCAAGUCGAGCGGAAAGGCCCUUCGGGGUACUCGAGCGGCGAACGGGUGAGUAAUACGUGGGUAACCUGCCCCUUGCUCUGGGAUAACUCCGGGAAACCGGGGCUAAUACCGGAUAUGACACUCGCAGGCAUCUGCUGGGUGUGGAAAGUUUUUCGGCGAGGGAUGGGCCCGCGGCCUAUCAGCUUGUUGGUGGGGUGAUGGCCUACCAAGGCGGUGACGGGUA
rnacentral:rRNA from 1 species